AGGCGCCGUCGCGGCCGCACGCCUGCCUCGCCGGAACAACCGCGCCCGGAUAACGCUCUCACGAGGCAUCCUCCACAGAACAAUGUGAUCACGAAUACAACGUUACUUAUGACAAUAUACAAUAAUAUAAUUGUGAUGAACAAAUGCAGGCGUCCAAGAUUUUCGAAUUAGAUAAAAAUUAAUGUAGAUUAGGAUGCGGGACGCUUAGUUUAAGAUGUUAUGGACUAAGACUAUGGUGUAAGCAGAAUGGCAGCGGUAGCCGGGCUUUAUGGCCUUGGCGACGAACAGAGGGGCAGGCAUCGACGAGGACAAAUCAACGCCGAGAGAUCAGAAUCCCGGGAUGAUAAUACAGAAGCGUCGCUGCCAAAACUAUACAACCAAGAAGAAGAACAAGGGAAGCCGCCUCAAAGCGGUGUCGUCACCUUUGAGCCGAUUGAUCAUGAUCAUGACUUAUGCGAGAGAGUCGUGAUCAACAUAAGCGGUCUCAGGUUUGAAACUCAACUAAGGACACUUAACCAAUUCCCGGAAACGCUGCUGGGAGACCCAGCACGAAGAAUAAGAUACUUUGACCCAAUACGGAAUGAAUACUUCUUCGACAGAAACAGACCAUCUUUCGACGCCAUUCUGUAUUACUACCAGAGUGGUGGUCGACUGCGAAGACCCGUCAACGUACCACUCGAUGUCUUCUCUGAGGAAAUCAAAUUCUACGAACUCGGAGAACAGGCCACAAACAAAUUCCGCGAGGAUGAAGGUUUCAUCAAGGAAGAGGAGAAGCCUCUGCCUUCCAAUGAACGGCAGCGCAAAAUCUGGCUGCUCUUCGAAUACCCUGAGAGCUCCCAGGCUGCCCGUGUUGUUGCUAUCAUUUCGGUGUUCGUGAUCCUCCUUUCCAUCGUCAUUUUCUGCCUUGAAACACUGCCAGAAUUCAAGCACUACAAAGUUUACAACACUACCACCAAUGGCACCAAGAUUGAAGAGGAUGAGGUCCCCGAUAUCACCGACCCAUUCUUCUUAAUAGAAACCUUGUGUAUCAUCUGGUUUACGUUCGAGUUGAUUGUGAGAUUUUUAGCAUGUCCGAACAAAUUUAACUUCUUCAGAGACGUGAUGAACAUAAUAGAUAUCAUAGCUAUUAUUCCCUACUUCAUCACGCUUGCUACCGUCGUUGCUGAAGAAGAGGACACGCUAAAUCUGCCUCGAGCUCCGGUAUCCCCUCAAGACAAGUCCACGAAUCAAGCGAUGAGCUUAGCAAUCCUGAGAGUGAUUCGUCUUGUUCGAGUCUUCCGGAUCUUCAAGCUCUCUCGUCAUUCCAAGGGUCUGCAAAUUUUAGGACGUACCCUCAAAGCAUCUAUGAGAGAACUCGGACUGUUAAUAUUCUUUCUCUUCAUCGGUGUGGUGCUGUUUUCGUCUGCGGUGUACUUCGCGGAAGCGGGAAGCGAAAAUAGCUUCUUCAAAUCGAUACCUGAUGCGUUUUGGUGGGCGGUCGUUACCAUGACGACCGUGGGAUACGGAGACAUGACGCCUGUUGGAGUUUGGGGAAAAAUCGUGGGGUCUUUGUGUGCAAUUGCUGGUGUACUUACCAUCGCACUGCCUGUGCCCGUCAUCGUGUCCAACUUUAACUACUUCUACCACCGUGAAACUGAUCAGGAGGAGAUGCAGUCGCAGAACUUCAACCAUGUUACCAGUUGUCCGUACUUACCAGGAACCCUGGGCGAACCAUACUUAGUUUCAGGACCAAUCAAGAAGUCCUCAGUUAGCGAUGACUCAUCAUCCGAUAUGAUGGAAUUAGAGGAAUCGGCUCUAGUAACUGAUCCCCACUUGGAGACCAACCUUCGGCGGUUACGUGAGGAAGGAAGGUUGCUCCUUGAGCAGAAAAAGGUCAUGGAGGCUGCUGGUACUAGUGAUGAUAUCGCAACCCUAGAACUACUUGAUGCAAUACGGCUGAAUCAGAUAAAACAACAAGAGCUGGGGAAGCAACAAGCUGCAUUGGCGAAGCGCAAUUCCCGAGCCCACUGCAUGGACGCACGCCGUGACCAGCGCAGGCGCACCCAAUGCAACGUACGAAUCAACCAAUUGCAUAGCGCGAGUGCACCUGAAUCUAUAGAAACAGACGUCUGACCUACGGUUGAAGUAGAAGUACUCGUUCAUCAUCCCGCGGGAAAUUAAAUCUGAAAGGCGAGUCGGGAAAUAACUUGCGGUGUCUGGCGCGGACGACUGCCAGCUCGUUCGCCUCCUGCCUGCCACGUGUGACCCUCCCCCCGCUUCCCACUCAGCCUUACCUCAUUAGACUCUCGAGGACUUUACGUGCUUCUACGAAUUAGUUAGAAAUUAGCCAUUAUUAUAAACGCUUGUACCAUAUGAGAACAGAUUUAGUAAUAGUUUCAUUUAUCUCCAUCUUUAAUUGUGUGUAACAUUUGGAUUGAUUUAAGACAAAAGACGACGUGAUUUUCCUUUUAUUAUGAUUAGGUACCUCUAGUCCAAUCACAAGUAAACAAAAGGUGCUCGCUUAAUAUAAAAACGCCCCGGUAUAAGGGUGUAUGUAAUCAAAAUAAAAAAUUAUAUACUGGUAGGUUUCUAUGCCCUACGCUUUGAAUAACUUUAAACCAUUCUGUCGGUUUGAUUCAGAUGUCAGAUUUCACGUUAUCAAUUGGUUGUUUUAAAAUUAUUUCAAAAAGCAUUAUAACUUUCUUUAAAUAAUAUGAUAAACCAACCUUGAAGUGUUAGGUAUUAUACAUAUCACACUUUGCUGCAGUGAGCUGCAUACUAGUAGCUGAUGAGUGACCAACACAAUACUCAUAUACCCACAUGUGGAUGACUUGGAACUGGCCAUGCGAUUCUCUACAAGUAUAAUUUUAUACUUGUUGAAGCUCUAAUUACGAUGUAUACAAACUAUAAAGUCUCAAAAGAAAUUGGACAUGAUUACCUUAUUUAGUGCUGUUGACACAAUUUGAAUAUGUACCCUGCUAUAUAUGUAUAAUUAAAGAUGGAAAUAAAUAUUUUUAAAGGCUUAUUCCGCUUCAACACUUACAGCUACACACUUCGACACUUCUGUAAUAUUAGGAAUUGUUCUUCAGAAAUAUGUAAUUGAAAUAGGCCUACAAUUAUUAGAUGGUACAAUUAGGACUCUGGUAUAUGACAAUACAAAGGAUGUGACAAGGGGCUAGUGUGCCUAAAACGGAUUUUGAAAAACACAGUUAUUGACGUAAAAUAAGAAUCGCUUUGUUAAACAUCUAAUUAGCGCCACAAGACUUUCGAUAAUAAUUGUCGAAUCGAAUUAUAUUCUGACAAUUAAUGCCUCUGUAGAUGCUACUAUUGGUAUAUAUUGGAUAGAAAUAGGAUGUCUGAAGUUCGGAUUUAUAAGAGAUCGUAAUAUUUCAAUGUUUGUUGUUGCAUAAAACGGUGCUAAGCGAUGGGAAAGGCGUCCUAAAUCUAUGCUUUGUAUGCAAUCUUUUUGAUGGAAAGUAUCGUUUGAAUGAGGUGAAUGUGGAAAAUGGCUAUGGUGAGGCAUUUAGAACGAGGUUGAAGGCAAGGAAAACGUAUUUAUAUUGAAUGUUGUGAUUCUAUGGGCAAUCGCCGACUGUACUUGUAACACCCUCAAUAAAACAUAAUAGUAAACCGUGUAGUUGUAGGGGAUCAAUGUCGUUUUACGAUAAGUGUUUAUUUAAUGGAAAGCAGAGGUUGUGAUAAUUCCAGUAUUGCAUAUCCCAGUGCAGCUAAGAUUUAAUGCGUGUCAACGAUGAGCAAUAAGUUCAUAUCAGGCGAUCUUGUAUUUAAAUUGCGUCAAUUUUCUCUCUAAAUUUAUAGAUAACGUCAAUAAUUCAGAGUUCGCUUGCUUUACAUUUAAAACUUACAUAUCGUGUGAGCGGAUUCGAUUGUAUUUAAAAUGGAAUGUUAUCGGAGACUUUUAUGAUGGAAGUUUAUCAUCUCAAAUUCGUUGUCAAUUUGCUUGUGUGUAGGCGUAGAAAUAUCGCUUUGAUUAUAAGCAUUAUUGAGAAUGAGCAACCAAACUUCUAAAGCAUUUGUGUGCCACAUUGAUUCCACGUGCCUAUUUCCUUUUUAACAACUAUAAAUGUUUCCUUCUCGAUAUAUGCUGUUUGAUGGUGUGUUCUCAAUAUUGCUUAUAUCAAAAGAAGUUUUAAAUGUUCAAAGAUAAAUAAUUUUUCCCAUAUCAUUAUACAUGUCAUAGCGGUAAACAUUAAAUAUUACUCGUUUAUUCUCUUAGAUUAAAUUAGUGUUAAGUGAUAAGAUUAAGGAUAUUUGUGUCUAUGUUUGGGAUUAAGUUUUAUGUAACAAAAGCUGCCAAAAUAUCGCUUGGAUUUUAAAAAUAACCGAUAGUUUUUUAUAACAGUAGGCCCCAAUAUGCGAAUAUAAGACAAUCUGUGUCGCCUGACAAUUUCCUUCAUUGAAUAGUUAUUACAUCACGACAAAACAUUUUUUACAUUUCUAACAGUCACAUAAAACCUAUUCUAAUGAAAUCAUAGGGCCUGCUGCAAAAAAUAAAAAAAAAAUACAUUUUAAACUCUCAAUUUAGAAUAAGUUCACGAUCAGAUAAAAUAUAUUUCAUUAAUAGAUCAACCUUCGUGGCUGCCAAGCUAUAUAAUUGUUUCGGAUUGGGCACAAGGUAAAUAAAUAAUCAAAAUCCUACCUAACCUUAUUAGGCUUUUACGGUACACUGCAUUUCAAACCAUUCAUACAAAUAUUUAAAUUACGUAAUAAAACUCCUUAUUUAUGAGUAAUAAUAUAUAGAAUUUAAACGAAUACAAGUAUAUUCUCGCACAUGCUUUGUAUUCGAAUUUAAACUCAAAGGCUGUCUUAGACUUCAUUUGGAUGCACAAAAGCCAUCGAGGUUGUUGCAAGUACAGAUACCUAUGUGUCAAUCUAUAUAUGUUAAAUUGUAGGUAUAUGUGUCUAUAUAGUCAGUAGCGCACGGGUCCACUGACUGACGAGUUACAGGAAUUAAUAGGUGAAAGUCGGAUUAUAUUAAUUUUAGCGUAAGACUAGUGGAGAACAAUGUUUAACACUAUUACGUCUGUAAAGGCAUUUUUGUUGAAAACUGUCAAAACAAUUCGGAAUUUAUAUAAAGACAACAGAGACUUGGCAUAUUUACCUACCACCGCUAAACGAUUGGGAGGAGUUGUUUAUUCGUAUUGCCUAAUCUUCUCAAUGGUAAAUAUAAUUAAAUUACGAUUUAAAGCGCGAUAGUUAUCGACCAAUUUCUUAAAAAAAAUGUAUUUUAUUGAGGCGAGACUGACGUACAUUCCAAUAACUAUAAUUAUAGUAUAGAUGUGUCGCAAUGGAUUGUGAAUUACUCAUGUUGGCCAAAAUUGUAUUUACGCUCACUGCGUAUUAUAAUUUUUGCUCAGUAUUAUUAGUUGUAUCGAAGAAUGUAGUCACGGACCCGAUGCGUAUUAACACCGUUUACUCUCCUUUAUAUCUUGGCUUUUAUCCUUUAUAUCAAAAUGAACGUAAACUUUUAUAGGCAAGAUAUAAAGGAAGCAAACAAAAUAUCCAACUUCGUUUUAAAUGACUCGAAUGGAAUCUUGAAAUUAUCUUUCACUUCAAGAUUCUUAACAAUAAGUAGUUGACAUAUAUCUAGAUUUCACCCAGAUAAUUUUCUAUAAUAGUUAGGGCGAAGUUGGUUACUAUUAAUAUAUUUAGUCUGAAAAGACAGACUGUAUAUAAUAUGGUCUUUAGUAAACAACUGUAAUCAGUAAAAUUUUAUCUGUAUAUUUUAUUUUAAGGUCUAUAAUUAGAUAUAUGCAAACCUUACCGUAUAUCGACUGGGUAUACUCGUACUUCUGCUUGAGCAAUUAACGGUCUGUGAGCGGUUCACGUGUUCUCCGGAACUUGGACGGGACUCGUCUCGGUUGCGACAGCUUAUGCUUAAACAGACUAACAUAAGACAUGCUGAUUACAUUGACUCAAAGAAUUACUGUAUAAUUGAUACCCUACUUAGAUUUACGUGGUAAAAGGCAGAUUCGAGAUUUAGCGCGUAAUAAAACCCUGCAUGUCAAAACGUUUUGAGUUUGACAUUCGGGAGUAAUACUAAGUAUUGACUGUGAGUCCUGCACUUAUAACGCCAAAACACCAAAAUACGAAUUUUUUGUAUUAAACAAUAAUUUUGAAACAGAAUAGAUAUUUAAACGUUGAUUUGUAUUCAAUAUAUAUUUUCAAGCGUAAUUUAUAUUUGCGAUGUUUAUUUAUAAGUUUUUGCAUCAAUGUAAUCUGCGUACUAAGCGAAAAUAAUAAUUUCUUAACACUUGCCCCUCUCCGUCCAGGAAAAAGCGUGUUCAUAUUCUAUCACUUAAUUAUACAUAUUAUUUACGAUAUUUGCAAAUCACGUUUAAAAUUGACUGACUAUUCGGUUUCAUACUAAAACUUCAGUUGAAGAUUAUAGAAUUUAUUCAGCUGGCUUCACAAUUAUCGCGUAUGAUAAGAAUGGAAAUUUAGUAAUACCUAAUCUCUUACAUUAAAAUUUAAGGUUUUAUAAUGUUUAGAGCUUUUCUAGUAUACUUAAAAUGAGAUCUUAUGAGGUAAUCAGAAUUUUACGCGAAAUAACAUUUCCAUCCAGUAAUAAUUAGAAAAUAGAUAUAAUAUCGUGCGAUAUUUAAUUCCUAUAGUGCCGUAAAUUAAAUAGGUUCGAUGGCCGUAUACAUGUACAUGUACUAUGUAUGAUUUUCAUCCUCGUCCCGUCUUCUGUAUCAUUAUGCACCAAAUACUCUCCCAUAAUAUAAUGAUUAUCUGACUUUAAGCUCAUAAUAGCCGUAAAUAAUAUAGAAUUAAUCAAAGUUUUGGUUCUAUUUGAACUCGCAAAUGAGUAGAACUUCCUAAUUAACAGCUAAGUAAAUUCAGUAGAUAACUGUAUACACGAACGCCUUUUUUAUUUAAGAAUAAUCUUAUUUAGUAAAUACAAUUAGUGCGUGGACUUAUUUUUGAUUAGGAUCUCGUGUCAGUGCCAUAAUGGCUUACAAAAAUAUUUAGCCUUAUUGGUAGUCAGAUAUGAGGGGAAUUUAUCAUGAUACCACUAAAUAUAAAACAUGCAUGGUCCCGAUUAUCAAUUAAAGCUUCUAUCUAGAACGGGGUCAUAUAAGUUCAUAAAAUACAUUCUAUUUUAGGCGGCUGUCAUUUUGGUAAUCUAAUAAUUAAAUAAAGAAAUGUAAUUUAAAGUUUCGGAUUCCACGUGAACACGCAUUAAAGUACGUAUUUAUUACACUUUUAAUAAAAUAUAUUUUUCUUAAUUUUUAUAAUUGUACACAAUAAUUUAGAACACGUUUUGGAACACAGUGCCAUUGCGAUCACGCCGUGUUGUUCGUUCUUUGAUAAUAUUUGGUGAAGUGCCAAUGUUGUGUGGAGUUUAAAAAUAAAAAAUCUGUCUCGGAAGGUUAUAUCGGAGAACGAAGAACACCGCACCGUAACACUCAUGUAAGAUUACUACAAUAUUUUGUGUUGAUUUCAAAUAUCCAAUGUAAGAAUGGUUCACAUAUUCUGCUGCUAAAACUUUCUUCCUAGGUUAAGUGGCAAUAUAGAGUCACAAAAAUAUGUAUGUCGUUUCGUUACCUCUGUUUGAAUGUAAGAUAAAACUUUAAGAAAAAUUCAAUUUGAUUUUUUGCUGAGUUUAUAUUGUCACCUAAUAAGGAAUUCUUUAUCUUGGUGAGCAUUUUACACGUCUUAGAAGUUAAUAAUGUCAUACAUAUCACCAAUUUGAAGUGGUACCCCGAGGGUAAAAUCAGUUUUAGUAGUAUUUUAUAUCAAACAAUUUAAUUACAUUUCAACAAAAAAUAUAACGCAAAAGUAUAAGUUAUUAAAACAUAUUAUUAUUAUUAUGAAGCA